UGGGGAAUAUUGCACAAUGGGCGCAAGCCUGAUGCAGCCAUGCCGCGUGUGUGAAGAAGGCCUUCGGGUUGUAAAGCACUUUCAGCGAGGAGGAAGGUGGUGAGCUUAAUACGCUCAUCAAUUGACGUUACUCGCAGAAGAAGCACCGGCUAACUCCGUGCCAGCAGCCGCGGUAAUACGGAGGGUGCAAGCGUUAAUCGGAAUUACUGGGCGUAAAGCGCACGCAGGCGGUUUGUUAAGUCAGAUGUGAAAUCCCCGGGCUCAACCUGGGAACUGCAUUUGAAACUGGCAAGCUAGAGUCUCGUAGAGGGGGGUAGAAUUCCAGGUGUAGCGGUGAAAUGCGUAGAGAUCUGGAGGAAUACCGGUGGCGAAGGCGGCCCCCCUGGACGAAGACUGACGCUCAGGUGCGAAAGCGUGGGGCAGCAAACAGGAUUAGAUACCCUGGUAGUCCACGCUGUAAACGAUGUCGAUUUGGAGGUUGUGCCCUUGAGGCGCGGCUUCCGGAGCUAACGCGUUAAAGUCGACCGCCUGGGGAGUACGGCCGCAAGGUUAAAACUCAAA
rnacentral:rRNA from 1 species